AUGAUCCUGUGGCUGAACUUUGUGUCCUUCCUAGCAGUCCUCAGAGGUGUCCAGUCUGAGGUCCAGUUGGUGGAGUCUGGAGGGGAUGUGAGAAGGCCUGGAGAGUCCCUCCGUCUCUCCUGCCAAGCCUCUGGAUUCAGCUUCAUCAGCUACUACAUGUACUGGGUGAGACAGGCCCCUGGAAAAGGGCUGGAAUGGGUGGCAUGCAUUAAUCCAAGUUCUGGUACUUACUACUCGGACAAAGUGAAGGGACACUUCACCGUCUCCAGGGACAAUGCCAAAAGCCAGCUGUAUCUGCAGAUGAACAGCCUGAAGCCAGCGGACACGGCAGUCUAUUACUGUGCAAUGAUUCUGUGGCUGAAUUUGGUUUCCUUACUAGCAGUCCUCAGAGGUGUCCUGUCAGAGGCCCAGUUGGUGGAGUCCGGAGGGGACGUGAGGAGGCCUGGAGAGUCCCUCCGCCUCUCCUGCCAAGGCUCUGGGUUCGACUUCGGGGGCUAUUGGAUGAGCUGGGUGAGACAGGCCCCUGGAAAAGGACUGGAGUGGGUGGCAUACAUAAGCUCUGGUUCUGGUUCCAGUACUUACUACUCGGACAAAGUGAAGGGACGCUUCACCAUCUCCAGGGACAACUCCAAAAGCCAACUCUAUCUGCAAAUGAACAGCCUGAAACUGGAGGACUCGGCAGUCUAUUACUGUGCGAGGGACACAGUGAGAGGAAGUGAGUCUGAAGCCUGGCAAAAACCUUCCCUUCCUCAGUUCAGCUCUGCAAGUCAGCUCAGC